GACGAACGCUGGCGGCGUGCUUAACACAUGCAAGUCGAACGGUUAAGCGCCUUCCUUUUUGGUGGGUGUGGAUGAGUGGCGAACGGGUGAGUAACACGUGAGUAACCUGCCCCCUUCUUCUGGAUAACCGCAUGAAAGUGUGGCUAAUACGGGAUAUUCUGGGUCUGUCGCAUGAUGGGUCUGGGAAAGAUAUUGUUUCGGUUGGGGAUGGGCUCGCGGCCUAUCAGCUUGUUGGUGGGGUGAUGGCCUACCAAGGCGGUGACGGGUAGCCGGCCUGAGAGGGUGGACGGUCACACUGGGACUGAGACACGGCCCAGACUCCUACGGGAGGCAGCAGUGGGGAAUAUUGCACAAUGGGCGCAAGCCUGAUGCAGCGACGCCGCGUGAGGGAUGGAGGCCUUCGGGUUGUGAACCUCUUUCGCCAGUGAAGCAGGCCUGCCUCGUUUGUGGGUGGGUUGACGGUAGCUGGAUAAGAAGCGCCGGCUAACUACGUG
rnacentral:rRNA from 1 species